rnacentral:rRNA from 1 species
UACGGAGGGGGCUAGCGCUGUUCGGAAUUACUGGGCGUAAAGCGCACGUAGGCGGCUUUGCAAGUUAGAGGUGAAAGCCCGGGGCUCAACUCCGGAAUUGCCUUUAAAACUGCAUCGCUAGAAUUGUGGAGAGGUAAGUGGAAUUCCGAGUGUAGAGGUGAAAUUCGUAGAUAUUCGGAAGAACACCAGUGGCGAAGGCGACUUACUGGACACAUAUUGACGCUGAGGUGCGAAAGCGUGGGGAGCAAACAGG